ACUGGGGGAAAUGUGUAUUAUACAAAAACCAGACCUGUGAGCCUGAGGCGAGACGCACGGAUGACUUGGGGAGCUGAUUAAUGAGGCAAAGCAAAGGAAGCCCAGGGGAUACUGGGACCAGGUGUAUUUUAGGAAGGUCCUUUUGGAGGCAAUGGCAUGAUGGGCAGGAGGAGAAGAGGCAAGUUUGGAGAGUGCUGUGAUUAAACCAGGUGAGAUAUGAUGGGGGAAAUGGAGUGAAGGAUGAGGAUGGAGGAGACACAAGUAACUGAUCAGAUGUUACUAAUAACAUGGCAGAGGAGAAAUCAAAAGACAACUUGGAGAUGCAGAACCCCACAAUGGGGAUAGAUUAACCAAGAAAUAGGAGGUGAAGCUUUUAUCAGAUUCAUAAAAAAAAAAAAAAAAAAAAAAAGAAAUGUGUCUGUGUAGGUAGGAAAGCAGAAAGCAAAAACACCACCACCUCAGGACCUCUGGAGCAGAAAGGACACUGGUACUCAAAAAAAGGGGAGCUCUCCUAAUGUCCCCUUAUCUACAAUAAGUAGAUCAGACCCAGUGUGGUUACAGACAAGAGAAAGGUUAAGAGCAUGAACUUUGGAAUCCUUAAAUUUGGGGUCGGGCGGUGGCUCACGCCUGUAAUCUCAGCACUUUGGGAGGCCGAGGUGGUCAGGAGUUUGAGACCAGUUUGACUGACAUGGUGAAACCCCGUCUCUACUAAAAAUACAAAAAUUAGCCAGGUGUGGUGGUAUGUGUCUGUAAUCCCAGCUACUCAGGAGUCUGGAGCAGGAGAAUUGAUUGAACCCGGGAGUUGGAGGUUGCAGUGAGCUGAGAUCGCGCUAUUGCACCACUCCAGCCUGGGCAACAGAGCGAGACUCCAACUCAAAAAAAAAAAAAAAAAGAAUCCUUAAGUUGCAAACAGCUUAUGAGUUGCAUUAGUCAGUUUAGGUUUUUAGCUGGAACCAACAAUCACCAGAUUUCAGUGCCUUAAGACAAUAGAUUAUUUCUACCUCAUGUCACCAUCCAGUGCAGGUUGAUGCUCAAAGCAGUUGUUUAGAAUCCUACAUUCUUCCAUAU
rnacentral:lncRNA from 13 species